rnacentral:rRNA from 1 species
GGGUCCGCACAAGCGGUGGAGCAUGUGGUUUAAUUCGAUGAUACGCGAGGAACCUUACCUGGGCUACAAUGCCCGCGACCGGUCUGGAGACAGACCUUCCCUUCGGGGCGCGGUGCAAGGUGCUGCAUGGCCGUCGUCAGCUCGUGCCGUGAGUGUUGGGUUAAGUCCCCGCAACGAGCGCAACCCCUACUCUUAGUUGCCAUCGGGUAAAGCCGGGGACUCUAGGAGGACUGCCCGCGCAAGCGGAGAGGAAGGCGGGGGACGAUGUCAGGUCAUCAUGGCCCUUACGCCCAGGGCGACACACGUGCUACAAUGGCGCAUACAGAGGGUCGCGAAGCAGCAAUGCC